UACGUAGGGGGCUAGCGUUGUCCGGAAUCAUUGGGCGUAAAGCGCGUGUAGGCGGUUCAGUAAGUCUGCUGUGAAAGUCCAGGGCUCAACCCUGGGAUGCCGGUGGAUACUGCUGGACUAGAGUGCGGAAGAGGCGAGUGGAAUUCCCGGUGUAGCGGUGAAAUGCGCAGAUAUCGGGAGGAACACCAAUUGCGAAGGCAGCUCGCUGGGACGUGACUGACGCUGAGACGCGAAAGCGUGGGGAGCAAACAGG
rnacentral:rRNA from 1 species